GCAGCAACAGAUUUCCGCUUCCUUGGUUGUGUGUCAUUUAUGCGGAUUAUUGAAUCAGAAUCAAGGGUACCAUCAACUACCUGUGUAGCUAGGUUAAUAGGCUCUGAUGAUCGCACUGUCUCUGUGUUGCUGUUUCCCUCUUCAGUUUCAACAGGUAUUCCACUUGGAACAAGGAAUUUUCCGGUAACUCUUUCUCCUUCAAAUAUGAUGGACAUCUGUUUAUACAGGGGAAAGC
rnacentral:misc_RNA from 1 species